UGCUCUACUGUUCCUGCAAGUCAGCAUUAUAUAUACUCACAAGUCCAAUAUCCAAGUAAUAUAAUUCAAUAACCACAAAACUACAUAAGUGAGCGCCACGGCUUCCAUAUUAUCAGAAUUCAAAAGAAAUAGGUACAAGUGGGUUGUUUUAUCAAGUAGCUACAGACAUGUAUGUUCAUGUUUCAUUCUGCAGCAGAGAAGACAUCUUCUUCUUCACAUACAGGUGAACCAGUUUGGUAGCGUCAACGUAAAGGAAAUCUCAUUGCAUUGUGAUAUGUAAUAUCUUUUAUAUUCAUUCAUUCUUAGUAUCAAUAUCUCUUUUAGUUAUUAGUCUUUGUUAACUCAAGGGAAAAAUAAAUAUUUCACAUUUAUAAAAUCUUUUUUUAUUUUU